ensembl:lncRNA
GGGAAAUGUAAUCUGUUCAUGCUGGAGUUUGUUUCCGAAGAGAGUUACGGAUCUGCUCUAAUUCACCUCUGCAUAAUAUCAUGAUCUGUUGAUUAACACUCCCUUGAGCCUGAACUAACUCCACAAACAGGGAACGAAGCUUAUGUUGCAGCUUGGCACAAGGUCAUUCCACCCCUGGUUACUGAAAAUGUAAGAGGGCCCCCUUGCGCAACACUGAGGUCUCAUUUGCCGGCUGCAUUAUCUCCGUGUUAAAAUCCCUUGCCUAGUUAGCAUUUGCGAUGAUGGAUGGCAUUGCACUAACCGAGCCUACAUCCUUCUCACAGAACAUCCAAGAACCUCGAAGUCUGAUGAUAGAUUACUAUUGCUUUAUCUUGUACUGAUUAUUCUUGCCCAUGACAUGAAGAGAGGCUGAGAUUGACAGCAGCGUGUGACCGCCAGCCCCACCGCCACGGGAGAGCACGGACCCACACUGAACUAGCAGCACCUCACAGACAAGACGCCGAGCACCGAACACCCAAACCACCUCACCGCACCAACGGUUCUUUUAAUAAAACCCACCCUUCGGGGAACUUACCCUCAUCCUCGUGUCGUGUCCUACUUCACCCCGCCACAGAGGCAAAACAGAAAAUGUCCCUUUUUACAUAGCAUCUGACAGCUCUUUUCAAAAGUCAAUUUAGAAUCUAUGACUGUCCCGAGAUAUUUGCAGCUUUCUACACAAUCCACCACCUGGUCUUUAAUGAUCAUAGUGUCAUAACGUAAAGCACAAGUUCUAAAAUCUAUAAUCAUGUCAUUUGUUUGAGUUAUAUUUAACUCCAAAUAAGAUUAAUCACACCAGGUGACAAACUCCUCAAUAAUAGGACCGUGUCCAUACUCAUUAUUGUGUAGCAAACUCACAAUAACUGUGUCAUCAGCAAAUUUCAAUAUAGUCAUAUUUGCAUGCUUACUUUGGCACAUAUUAGUAUACAACAUAUAAAAUAAAGGUGAAAGAACACAACCCUGGGGUGAACCA